GUAUAAAACAGUGACAUACAGAGAGAAAUGAACAGGGGGUAUAGUCACCCAUGGUGAGAACCAUGUAAGCUGAAGUGGAAUUACGUGACUACUCAAAUCUCAAGUUCUUUGGUGAAAAUCAAAACUGCUGCAACAGAAUGCAAAGAGAAAGAAAUGUGAAUAUCCUCUAUCACUCUGGACUUUCCAAAGGAUACAGCGUUCAAAAGACUUGGAUAGUGAGAAACCUGAAUGUAAAUAAGGAACAUUCCAUUCUACCUAAGAGUAAAAUAAACUUUUCAGAAACUUGAAGUUCAAAAAGAAUGAGAAAAUAGGAUAAAUAUGUCACUAAUGUCACUUGGAGAUUCAUCAUCCCCUAAAAAGGAACAAAAUGGAAAUUCAGAUAGAUUGAAAUGAAAGUCAAAAAUAGUUCUGCAGUGAGAAAAAGGCAGCGUCUUCUGAGAAUCAGCCAUACUGGAACUCUGGAACCGAUCAAGAAAGUAACCAGCCAUCCUUCCUGGUCGGCAGCGUGAGCUGCAGGCCCGCCAGGGAGAGAGUAACUGUCUCCUGUGAACUCACCUACAGGUGGGCUGAGAAUCAAAGUCUCUUCCCCCCUCUCCCUGAUAGCAACAGGAUGGUUUUAAGUCAGCCAUUGAUAGCAACUAAGGUACAUAAAGCAACUAAAUGCUUGGUUGGUUGAUUAUGCUGACCUGGGACCAGGAUCUAAGCAUCUCAUGGGAGGAUGACUGUAUGUAAUAUAGCAAAUAUAGGGGAUUUCCUUCUAACAUAUCUUUGAUGGCCGAAUUGUUUUCAUUGUUUUGCUUUGUUCUGAUUGUUUUGCCCUAUUCAGUAUUCUGCUUUGAUUGGUUUUAUAGUGUUCUUGGUUUGAUUUGGCUAUAUCUGCUUGAAUGGACCACUAUUGUGACAAUAAGAAGAUAUACUAUGGUACCUGUUACUGUUAUCCUGAUAUCCUGCUUGAAGUUCUGCCCAAUUUCACUGCAUUGUCUUGAUUGGCUUUGUUCUAUACUGUUUUGUUGUAUUUUAUGAUCUUUAAAGUUAAAAAAAAAAUAGUUCUGCAGUGUUUCUCAUUUGGAAGCCUUAAAAAUACUCCCUAAGAAAGUACACACCUGAGCAGCAUGGAGAGGCUCUUGUAGAGAAGAAGCAAUUGCAAUUAUGUCAUAACAGCACAGUUCUAAAUGGCUGGGGGAUUGUGUCAGGAAAAUUUACAAUCACAUUCUACAUGAGAGAACGGCAGUCAUGUGCACUAGGCCCCUACACCUGUGCACAGGCCUGACGUUGGGGUAGAGCAACCCUACUUUGUGAAUCCAUCUGGUAAGGUAUGCGAGAACAACAAAACCUCUUUCUUCAGAGCUUCCACAUGGAUGCAGAAGGUUAAACUGUGGGGUUUUCAGAUACACAGGCUUUGAAAUAUCCACACAGGAUAGUACACUGUGUGGAUAGCAAGUGUAGGGGUUUGUGCAGUAAAAUAAUUAAAACCAAGGACACUGAGCAAAAGACUGAAAAGUGCU